rnacentral:rRNA from 1 species
GACGAACGCUGGCGGCGUGCUUAACACAUGCAAGUCGAACGGAAAGGCCCUGCUUUUGUGGGGUGCUCGAGUGGCGAACGGGUGAGUAACACGUGAGUAACCUGCCCUUGACUUUGGGAUAACUUCAGGAAACUGGGGCUAAUACCGGAUAGGAGCUCCUGCUGCAUGGUGGGGGUUGGAAAGUUUCGGCGGUUGGGGAUGGACUCGCGGCUUAUCAGCUUGUUGGUGGGGUAGUGGCUUACCAAGGCUUUGACGGGUAGCCGGCCUGAGAGGGUGACCGGCCCCCAUGGGACUGCGGUACGGCCCAGUCCCCUACGGGAGGCAGCAGUGGGGAAUAUUGCACAAUGGGCGGAAGCCUGAUGCAGCAACGCCGCGUGCGGGAUGACGGCCUUCGGGUUGUAAACCGCUUUCGCCUGUGACGAAGCGUGAGUGACGGUAAUGGGUAAAGAAGCACCGGCUAACUACGUG